UACAGAGGGUGCGAGCGUUAAUCGGAAUUACUGGGCGUAAAGCGUGCGUAGGCGGCUGUACAAGUCAAAGGUGAAAUCCCUCGGCUCAACUGAGGAACUGCCUUUGAAACUGUACGGCUUGAGGCCGGGAGGGGGUAGCGGAAUUCCCAAUGUAGCGGUGAAAUGCGUAGAUAUUGGGAGGAGCACCAGUGGCGAAGGCGGCUACCUGGACCGGUUCUGACGCUGAUGCGCGAAAGCGUGGGUAGCAAACAGG
rnacentral:rRNA from 1 species